rnacentral:lncRNA from 1 species
ACAAUGCAGCAAGAUGAAAUGUGACUGACAGUAAAAGGGGGAGAGCAUACACAAACAGAUGAGAGCAUUAAAAUGGAUAGGAAGAAGAGCCACAAAGGAAAGAAAUUUAGUAAAAAAAAAUAAGUAUGCAGCUAAAGAAAAGAGUAGAAUUGUAAAUUAUAGAAAGAACAUACCAAAUAGGAGGAAAAAUGAAGGAAUCUACCACAAGACAAAGAUGGUGUUGUCAAAAAAUAUGAAAGCUAAUACUAUGAGAGGAGACAAAAUAAAAAUGGGAUGAAAAAUGAAAGAGAAUACAAAUGGAAAGUUUUUAUACUCUAGGAAAUUUGUCAUAGCAGAUCAGAUUUGCAGCAUUAUUACAAAUGGAUUAUUAAAUUCAUGGUGACACUAUUCUAUUUCUAAAACUUCUGUAAAAAGUAAGGCAUUAACAGGGAAACUAGAUACAAUUUACUUUUGCAUCUUCCCAAUUAGGAAAGAAAUUUCCAAUAAGCACUUCCCCUUUUACUUCCAGUUGUGUUUCAUCUUGAUUCAUUGCACAACCUAAUGAUGAUCUCUCUGAUUUGAAAUCAAAAAAUACUUGGUUUGUAUAGCUUUGUUAAUAUUUUACAUCAUUAAAAAUUAGUACAGUAUCAUUGUUUAUUGCGUUUCUAUUUGUAUUUAUUCAAUGAUGAUGAGCACUGCCAAGCCAAUCAUUUCUUGUGUAAAAUUGAGAAUAAAUGAAGGGGAAAAUAUGGUACAGAUUCAUAGCAAUGCUAAUCAUCAAUUAAAUUAUAAGUAAUUCAACUUACAGUAUCUUAACAUUUGCACUUCUUACUUUCAUUAAAAUUCCAAAUUUGCACCUGCAGCUUGCAUUUAUAAUAGAAUACAGCAGAAAAGAUGUGUGUCAUUUCAAAACAUAUACAGUACAUUUGUAACUCUUUGAUAGUUGGCAACUAUUGCUUAAAUUGAAUAUAUCUCUCAUCACUUGUUAUUACUGUUAUAACAAAAAUAAUUCAUAAAGAAAAAUAUUUUUUUAGUUAAGAAUUUUCAA